GGAGGGGUGGCAGAGUGGUCGAAUGCGUCGGUCUUGAAAACCGAAGUGCCGCAAGGUACCGGGGGUUCGAAUCCCUCCCCCUCCGCCC
rnacentral:tRNA from 1 species